GGCAUCACUGAAGACCUGACACCGGCGGAAUCGGACGUCCGCGGUGUCCUCCUCGGCAUCAAUUUAAAAAACCCCGGUUGUUCUCUUGCGCAAAAAACUUCCACCGCCGGCGCGCGAAGCUGACCCGGCCCUGUCGCAGAAAAGGAGCGCGCUUCGCCGGGAGGAGCAGGCAGUUUUUUCCGUGUCCAGACGCUCGGAGAGGCGCAGGGGCGAGACAAUAACGCCCAGAAGUUAUUGAAAUGAAUCGUUUCGGAAGGAGCUGACUGACAUGAGAAGAGGAAACAGAACUAGAAGUAGCAGCGUUGGGCUUCACCGCCGAGGAAAGAAAGGGAAGCACAACCCGCCGCCCACCCCACCACCACCACCACCACUCCAGAGAGGAACGCAAUGAGAACAAGACAAGAGUGAUGAGAGGUCCAGACAUGAAGGAGGCACGCACACAGACACACACAGACACACAUUCAUGGCACCUAGAGUCUGUCUGCGGUCUACCACCAGCCUGCCACACACACCCAUGACUGUUACGGGCAGCAGAUUAAGUGGGCGACGCCAUUCCAGCUGUGAGGAGAUGGAAGAAGUCAACACACACACACACACACACACACACACACACACACACACACACACACACAGACGCAGACAGACACACACACAGAGCCGGAGGCGCACGAGCAUUAAGUCAGGCAGCUAAACAGAUCACGUCGUGGUAUGAUAUCUGCAGACAGGCAGACAGAGGAGGCCGGUUUGUACCUGCAGGCACAGAGCAACAACUCCCAGCACCCUCGCCAGGAAUUUCCUCCCCCUCCUGAGAGACGGAGAGAGAGGGGGGGAACAACUGAAGGUGAGAGAAAGACAUAAAGUGGGAUUUCCACUGUCACGCAAAACACAUCAUUUGAAAACCUAAACACAAAGUGGCUACUAAAUUAUUUUUUUUAUGAUCUGAAAAGGUUCAAGGUCACACCAUCAGAUAUUUCUACUACUGAGACUCAUUGACUAGAAAAUGAAGUCUCAGAGGCACAUGGUGAUGAUUUUUGAUUUAUUUCAUAAAAAGGUAUAUGUAUACUUAUUUAUACAUAAUUACUUCUAUGUAUAAGCCCAGGAAUUUUCAGAAGAGGCUUUGACACUGAAUUUAAAUUGAGACCCACCAUGCUUACAGGCCUAUGUCUCGCAUUAAAAGUGCAUUAAUUACAUUAUAAGAACUGUAAUCAUUACUGAAAUAUCUACAUUCAGUGUUUUAUUUUAUCAUUUUACAUUUUUCUUUUUCUGUUUAAUUUUUAAGCCCAUUUUAUAUAUAUAUAUUUGUUUGUUUUUGUUUUUCGUCCGAUGUGUUUUUCCAUGCAAAGGUUUCCUUUUUGAAAAACGAGCUUGAUGGAGGGAUAAUAACACAUAGUUACAGCUGAGGGCAGCGGGAGGGAAGAGAUAAAGGGGAGGAGUAAAAGUUCUUGCGUCACAUUUUUCGUCCAACGUUCUCCUUUACCUGCGCCGAUGAAAGGAAAUCCUCUGACAUUAAAGACGAACCACUCUUUCACACGCUACGGUGAUAUCGGGCGCAGACGGCUCUUUUGUUAUUCUGGAGUAAUCCGAUCACCUCCUGUGGGAUGUCUCUCCGGAGUUACGAGGCUGUUUUGACAGGGCGCGCUGUACUAAUUAUUAAAACUUACGACAGGGUCCGUUUAGGCAAACCUGUUCGGCUAGUUUUUAUGUUGUGAACGUUGCUCGGGGCUGCUUUGGCAUUUUUUGUUGUUUUUAUAGCUUUUCUUUUUCACUCUGCUCAGCGUCCGUGGCCUUCACCUGUAGUGUCCUGGGUCACGUUUGUAGUGAUUCCUCCUCUGGGAGUCACCAGGACAGUUGUGUGUUGAUCCAAAGAGCAGAUUUAUUGAACCCACUCUUAGUUAAAUUAGCUUUCAGUUCACUCCUGUACAAAUUUUUCCAAACUAGUCCGGCAAUUAAAUUACCCUUAAAGUCAGGAUAUUGCUUUUUUCCCUUUUAAUCUGCCCUCGUUCUCUACCUGGGGGUCGCUCCUCUCAUCAGGAACCGUGUUGGGUGAUUUCCCCGGCGGAGGUUUUGUUCUGGUCCUUUUUCCAAUGCUUUUUUUUUUCUUCAGCCUGAAAAAACGCCUCCUGAAAUUUUUACAAGUCACAGCUCUCCGCACCACAUCCACUUAUCUAAAAAUGAUUCAGUGGUUAAAUGUCAGAGCUGUCCGUGCCAUUAAGGCCAGCCCGUUUGAAGGAAGGACACCCUCAUCCGCCCUCUCCCUCCCUUCCCAUUCCCCUCCUGUCUCCCUUCAGCUCUCUCACCCCCGCCUCCUCCCCUCUCGCCCUCCCUCCAAACCCAGGCUGGUUUGAGGGCUGAUGCGCAGACCUUGUCAUUCAGAUUAAGGCCACAUUGUCAGCUCAGGGCCCUUCUCUUUCUGCGCGUUGCGUGUCCCGGAUCUUUCUUCCCACUGUCACCCUCCUCCUGCGGGCCAGAGAAGACCUUUAUAAAGCAACAUUCCUUCUCAUCCACUUCUGUCAAUUCCAACGCUGUCACUCAAAUCACCGUGCGGGGGAACGGAGAGAGAGACAAGCCGCCGAGUUAGUGGUGUCCCUCGCAGCAAGGACUGUGCUUUUUCGGUCCGGGCACGGGAGACGCGUCGGCAGUUGGCAAACUGUUUUUUUUUGUGACUGAAGUAUUUUGGGUUACGAUAUAGUUUUUGCUCUUGCUCACAAGUGACAAGCUUACAGAAUAUAUUAAGAGAGAUACACAGGAAAUGAGAAAAGUCGAAGCAGCUCUUGUGAUCCAAAGGAGAAAAGAGAAGCAGCACAUUGUUCGCCGUCAGUCAGUGUGGUGGAAAAGUUUCAAAUUCUUCAGCGAUUACUACUUAAUGUGAUGUGGCUUUAUAGUCACAGUGUUAUUUUUAACUCUGAGCUUUCUGUGUGAGCAGAGGCAGGAGAUAUCGCCACAUCGUCUUAGUCACCCCCGAUCCUGCCGGCUGAAAGAGUCCCAACACCACAUUUAUCAUCCGGCCACAUCUUGACUCACUGCCACAGCUUUACUGUCACAUCGUAUCUAUAUAAUUGCAGCAGCAGCAGCAGCAGCAGCAGCCGCCCUGUGGCAUUUGAUUGUUGUGCGUCUCACACACUUUGUUGCUCAUCGCCUUUCUCAUCAUGAGCAACAGUGGAUCAGCACGGUGUAAUAAAAUCUUUUAUGCAAGAUGGCGGACAGUUCCUUUACUGGUAAUAGCACAGCGAGAGAAAAAAAGCCACAGUGCCACAUCAUAGCGAAAGCAACAGACGCGCCAUUGAUAAGGGUGAGUCUGCAGUUUCAUACGCCGCGUCUUCCUCAUCCUCCACCUUGCAGGAAGCCCUCGGGGCACGCCAGCGCCUCUCUGGAGGCCGCGCUGUGCCGCUGUGCUUCAACACAGCAGCUGAUGGCUGGCUGCAGCCUACGCCCAGGUGCUGUGUUUACUAAAACCCGCAAUGAGUCUCGAGUUUCAAGAUGACUCUCCGUCUUCUAACUGAUACUUGUAGUGAAAUAAAAUGAGUUCCCAGAA